rnacentral:rRNA from 1 species
AUGCUUAGGAAAAUGUUCCAAGGCGGUUCUUCAAGGAAGCAAGGACCCAGGCUUGCAAUGCGUGAUGCUGAUGAAGAGCCACCAAGAGACGCUCCAGUGCGUCCUUGUGAAUGGCCUUCUAAGAACUUUAUGGAUCGAGCGGGAAUUAAGGAAGAAUUCAACGCAUAUUUGUGUAAUGCUGAUCUCGUGAGCUUCGAGGAAGAGAAUUGCAGCCAGUAUCACUAUCUCACCAGUACCCUUGUGAAGAGGUUUGAAUUUUCAACUUCAUGUAAUUCUCCAAUUGUCCUGUUUGAUCUUUAUGAUAAAUCUUACACUAUGGACUUAGAGGAUUUUAUCACUGCUUGCAAACUUCCACCAUGGGGUAGUAUAAGGGAUCCUCGCAAAUCUGAAUUUAGAGAUUUUCUUGCUAGAAUAACUAUGGGGGAAUCUAGAGAUAUUACACAAGCUACAAUAGGGAGCAUUCACGUUCCUGAUAUACAUUAUUUUGCUCUCAUCAUAGGUAGAUGCAUUAAUGGUAAAGAUGAGGCAUGUCACAUGUGUGUCCCCAAUCUUAGUAUUCUUAGGAGUGCUGUGUUAGGAGACAAAUCAUAUAAUUUGGGAGCCAUUGUUGCACGUAGGUUGCAUCUUAAUAGACUUAAUGGAGAUUUCUUUGGUGGAAUUUAUGCAACCCGCAUAGCUAAUUUUCUUGGUAUAGCCAUACGCGAAGAUGAUAUUGAAUUACCUCCUGCUUAUCUAGAUUUUAAUGCUAUGGUUCACCACCAGUUUGUCGAGAGGAACGAAUCACCUCUCCAGUAUCGACUAAUCUUUGACAGACACCGUCCUGUCCGUAUUACUCUCCCUGCUCCUGCCUUCUUUGAUUAUCAGGCAAGAGGAGGAUAUACUAUUACCAGAGAGGAGGCAGAUGAGUAUGAGAGGACAGAGGAGGCCGCUCAUCGCCAGGCUGCAGCUCAGCAGGCGAUAGCUACUGCAUCGCAGUACGACCCCAGCUACUAUUAUGGAUAUCCGCCAGGCCAACCGUGGCCAUAG